UUAUUUUUUAUUUAUUAAUAUUUAUUUUUAUAAAAUUAUUAUAUUAAAAAUAUUUAUAUUUUUUUUUGUUCUAGUAUUUUAAAAAGAAAAAAUAAAUUUAAUUAUAGUUUAAUAGUAUUGUAAAAGAAAAUUGAAAUAAUUGAAAAAUUAAUAUUUUUUAAGAAAAUUUAAUUUAUUGUACCUUGUGUAUCAGGGUUUAUUAAAUAAAAAUUAAUUAAUUAAUUUUCUCGAUUUUAAAAGAGUUAAUAUAUUAUGAAAGUUAAUGUAGUAAAAUUAUUUUUAAUAAUAUAUUUGAAAUGAAAUGUUAUUCGUUUUUAAAGGUAUCUAGUUUUUUAAGAAAUAAAUUUAAUUUAGAAAUUUUUUAUUAAUUUUUUAAAUGAAUAAUAAAUUAAUUAAAAAAUUUUAAUAUUUUAUGGGAUAAGCUAUAAAAUAAAUUUUUAAAAAUUAAUAAAUAUAGUAAUAAAUAUAGAUUUAGAAAUAGUUAUUAUUAAUAAAAGUGUUAUAAUUUAUUUAAUUAUAUUGAUUAUUUAUUUGAUUUUAAAUUUGUAUUAAAAUAUUUAUUAAAAUUUUAUUAAUAAAUUAAUAAUGAUAAAAUUAGUAUAAUUUUUGUUUAUAAAUAUUUAUUUGAAAAGUUUUUAUAAAGAAUUCGGCAAAAAUAAUGUUCGCCUGUUUAACAAAAACAUGUCUUUUUGAAUUAUUUAAAAAGUCUAGCCUGCCCACUGAAAUUUUUGAAUGGCCGCAGUAUAUUAACUGUGCAAAGGUAGCAUAAUCAUUAGUCUUUUAAUUGGAGGCUGGUAUGAAUGGUUGGACGAAAUAUUAACUGUUUCAUAAAAAUUUGUAAUAGAAUUUUAUUUUUUAGUAAAAAAGCUAAAAUUUUAUUAAAAGACGAGAAGACCCUAUAAAUCUUUAUAUAAAAGUUAUUAUAUAAUUUAAGUUUUUUUUUGAUAUGAUAAUAUAUUAUAUUUUAUUGGGGUGAUAUUAAAAUUUAAUUAACUUUUAAUUAAAAUAAACAUUAAUUUAUGAAUUAUUGAUCCAUUAAUAUUGAUUAAAAAAUUAAGUUACUUUAGGGAUAACAGCGUAAUUUUUUUGGAGAGUUCAAAUCGAUAAAAAAUAUUGCGACCUCGAUGUUGGAUUAAGAUAUAAUUUUAGGUGUAGCCGCUUAAAUUUUAAGUCUGUUCGACUUUUAAAAUCUUACAUGAUCUGAGUUCAAACCGGCGUAAGCCAGGUUGGUUUCUAUCUUUAGUUAAUUAAAAUAUUAUAGUACGAAAGGACCUUAUAUUUGAUAAAUUAUUAUUUUUAUAUUGAAUAUUAAUAAUGUAA
rnacentral:rRNA from 1 species